rnacentral:rRNA from 1 species
CAGUCGCCGCGGUAAUACGGAGGGUGCAAGCGUUAAUCGGAAUUACUGGGCGUAAAGCGCACGCAGGCGGUUUGUUAAGUCAGAUGUGAAAUCCCCGGGCUCAACCUGGGAACUGCAUUUGAAACUGGCAAGCUAGAGUCUCGUAGAGGGGGGUAGAAUUCCAGGUGUAGCGGUGAAAUGCGUAGAGAUCUGGAGGAAUACCGGUGGCGAAGGCGGCCCCCUGGACGAAGACUGACGCUCAGGUGCGAAAGCGUGGGGAGCAAACAGGAUUAGAUACCCGCGUAGUCCCUGUCUCUUAUAC